GAUGAACGCUGGCGGCGUGCCUAAUACAUGCAAGUCGAGCGAACGGACGAGAAGCUUGCUUCUCUGAUGUUAGCGGCGGACGGGUGAGUAACACGUGGAUAACCUACCUAUAAGACUGGGAUAACUUCGGGAAACCGGAGCUAAUACUGGAUAAUAUUUUGAACCGCAUGGUUCAAAAGUGAAAGACGGUCUUGCUGUCACUUAUAGAUGGAUCCGCGCUGCAUUAGCUAGUUGGUAAGGUAACGGCUUACCAAGGCAACGAUGCAUAGCCGACCUGAGAGGGUGAUCGGCCACACUGGAACUGAGACACGGUCCAGACUCCUACGGGAGGCAGCAGUAGGGAAUCUUCCGCAAUGGGCGAAAGCCUGACGGAGCAACGCCGCGUGAGUGAUGAAGGUCUUCGGAUCGUAAAACUCUGUUAUUAGGGAAGAACAUAUGUGUAAGUAACUGUGCACAUCUUGACGGUACCUAAUCAGAAAGCCACGGCUAACUACGU
rnacentral:rRNA from 1 species